GACGAACGCUGGCGGCGUGCCUAAUACAUGCAAGUAGAACGCACAGUUUAUACCGUAGCUUGCUACACCAUAAACUGUGAGUUGCGAACGGGUGAGUAACGCGUAGGUAACCUGCCUGGUAGCGGGGGUAACUAUUGGAAACGAUAGCUAAUACCGCAUAAUAUUGAUUAUUGCAUGAUAAUUGAUUGAAAGAUGCUAUUGCAUCACUACCAGAUGGACCUGCGUUGUAUUAGCUAGUAGGUGAGGUAACGGCUCACCUAGGCGACGAUACAUAGCCGACCUGAGAGGGUGAUCGGCCACACUGGGACUGAGACACGGCCCAGACUCCUACGGGAGGCAGCAGUAGGGAAUCUUCGGCAAUGGACGAAAGUCUGACCGAGCAACGCCGCGUGAGUGAAGAAGGUUUUCGGAUCGUAAAGCUCUGUUGUAAGAGAAGAACGGGUGUGAGAGUGGAAAGUUCACACUGUGACGGUAUCUUACCAGAAAGGGACGGCUAACUACGUG
rnacentral:rRNA from 1 species